CGUAAGUCGACCAUGACCUAAUUUCGACCACUUUGUUUACAUUAAGAACGCGGCCAUUUGGAUGACGUCACACGCAAGCGCUCCGAGUAUUUCGAUGAAGUGACAUAACUACGCUUAUAAACAAAAACAAAUAAAAACAAAAUGAGGAAAAAACAGGCUUAUCUCAAACAAUUUUGUAAAAUGGGCACAGUGUGACAAUAGAGCCUGCAACCAGUGGGUACACCUGUCAUUUUGUACAGAAAUUAAAGUCAUUAGAAGAGGUGCAACAUUUAUGUGCCCAUGCUGUGCUAAAGAAGAGUGAAAAUUGUUCUUAAGAAAAGUGAAAGAAACAUGUUCAAUUGUAUUUAUAAAAUAUUGAAAACAUAUUUAAGUUACAUUUUCUGUUUUAGUUCUUGUUAAAAUUGUUCAAAGAAGCGAAGUUUAAAGUUAAGUUGGCCUAAUCCAUUACCACUAGAGUGCUGUCCCUUUCCCGGAUGUGACGUAUCGACUUAAGGUAAACAACGCGCGGAGUAAAUGUUCUUGUAGUGUGUAUGAAACUAUCGGCUUUGCGUAGUAAAACAUGCUGUAAAUAAUCAUUUUUGACAUUGAUUUAACGGGAAUUAAAUAAAUCUCUGAAGAUUGUCAAGGACCCGUUUGCCCAGCUAUUUAUGGUACAUGCGUUCCUGUGCAGCGCUGAAGAAACCAGUGUCAAGCAGGUCCCUCGUGUGAUCGUCCUAACGACGAGGAGAAUGACCAAAGGCUAUGCCCUGUUCUGACAGUGGAGUGAAGGCAUUCACGAAGCUCCAGAUCCAUUCGUAUCUGUCCUCUGUUAGCAACGCAUGCAGCCAUUCAGGAUCAGGCCGUAUGAAUGUCACAAUUCGCUUCCAGAACGUUGCUGAAGGCUGUUGACCUUGGUGACCCAGGCAGAGUCCAGUAACGUCUGCAAGAAAGUGUAACCUGAAACAUGAAACAAAGUGUGCAAGAAUGUGAAACUUUAAACAAGAAACAAAGUCUGCAAGAAUGUGUAGCCUGAAACAUGAAACAAGGUCUGGAAGAAUGUGUAACCUGAAACAUGAAACAAAGUCUGCAGGAAUGUGUAACCUGAAACACGAAACAAAAAUUUAAGGUCUGCAAAAAAGCGUGACCUGAAACAUAAAACAAAGUCUGCAAGAAUAUGCAACCUGAAACAUAACAAGGUCUGCAAGAAUGUGUUACCUGAAACAUGAUACAAGGACUGCAAGAAAGUGUAAUCUGAAACAUGAAACAAAGUCUGCAAGAAUAUGCAAUCUGAAACAUAAAACAAGGUCUGCAAGAAUGUGUAACCUGAAACAUAAAAACAUAACAAGGUCUGCAAGAAUGUGUAACCUGAAACAUAAAACAAGGACUGCAAGAAUGUGUAACCUGAAACAUAAAACAACGUCUGCAAGAAUGUGUAACCUUAAACAUGAAACAAAGUUUCCAAUAAUGUCCCCCACCCCACCCUACAAUAACAAAUAUAUUAUAAGAUGAGUAAAACACGCGCUUUUUGCAACAAAUGUCAGAUAUAAAUUAAGAAGUUUUCAUGUUUAUAACACACACUUUAUUGUUAUAAAGUUCUAAGAAAUCUUGAUAUUUACACUGUAACCUUUCCCUCCUAUUAUUUUUCCGGAAACAAACUUUUUCAUUUGCUUGAUUUGUUUAGGUAACCUUUACCUUCUUUCCUCAUUUUGUCAAAGUUUUGUUCUCAUUACUAAUAGACAGACAAAAUCCAAAAGUAAAAUGACAUAUGCCCAUAUUAAUUAGAUUUUCUUCUUUUUUUUUAAAUAUUUUAUUUUAAAAUGUUUUCAAAAGAUUAAUGAUUUUUUUAUUUUCUAGUAUUUGGCAAUUUUAUGCAGAAGCAUAUAAUUUUGUCAUAAAACUGCACUUUAUAAGCAUCUAGUCACAGUUAAAUCUGAGUUAAUUGGAUUUUAAACACUCAUCUUCUAUUAAAGCUUGUGUUGAACGAUGUCAAUAGGAUUUUUUUAAUUAAUGGAAAAACAACACACAUUUGUGCCUAAAUUAAACAGAAUGUAAAGAAUGUAUUUGAUGCUCAAGUAUAGCUUUUAUGUGACAUUUUAUUCUUUAAUUGCCAAAGCUUUCUGUCAAACAAAAUUGCCAAUCCAAAAUUAAUAUAGGGUUACACUGGCGACAUCAUGAAAUGGUUGCAUAAAUAUUUACAUUAAACUGUCUCUUUUUUUUCAUUCAAAAUCAUAAAAACAAGAUAUUAAAUAGAAAGCUACAGUUUGAACAGCUUGCAUAAACCAACAUGCAAAUGAAUAGUGGCCCAUGAGUAAUAAAAUAGCACUGUUCCCAAAUACAGAUCCAUUUUACCACAAGUUUUGUUUUAAAACCAUAAAUAUUUGUUUAAUGCUUUAAAAACAAUUCAUCUGAAUGUGAGCAUAAAUGGUCAAGAAGUUAUUUUCUUUUCAGAAACAUUAUCUCAGAUUUAAAUGCUUUUAGCAGGUGGACACUUUCUAUUGUAAACAUGAGGGCCAUAUAUUUUUAAUGACCUUAAAGGGACCUUUUAACGUUUUGAUAAAUUGACAAAAUUGACAAAAAUGUUUCA